rnacentral:misc_RNA from 1 species
AACUUUUAACAACGGAUCUCUUGGUUCUGGCAACGAUGAAGAACGCAGCGAAAUGCGAUAAGUAAUGUGAAUUGCAGAAUUCAGUGAAUCAUCGAAUCUUUGAACGCACAUUGCGCCCCCUGGUAUUCCGGGGGGCACACCUGUUCGAGCGCCAUUACAAACCUCAAGCCUUGCUUGGUGAUGGGCUCCGCCAGUAUGGCGGGCCCGAAACUCGUGGGCGCCCCUAACCGGACUCCAAGCGUAGCAAAACCCUCGCUUGUGGACGAUCGGUCGGAGGCCGCCCCGGACCCCAAUUUUUAUCAAUGGUUGGCCUCGGAUCAGGUGGGGAUACCCGCUGAACUUAAGCAUAUCAAUAAGCGGAGGCU